rnacentral:rRNA from 1 species
AUUGAACGCUGGCGGCAUGCCUUACACAUGCAAGUCGAACGGCAGCACGGGAGAGCUUGCCUGGUGGCGAGCGGCGGACGAGCGGGUAAGAAAUAGGAAGAAAUGCUGCAGUGGGGGGUAGCUAGCCGAAAGCAGGACUAAUACAGCAUACGAACGACGGACGAAAGCGGGGGGCGGUCGGGUCUGGCGCUCGCGAGUUGGCCGAUGGCUGAUUAGCUAGUUGGUGGGGUAAAGGCCUACCAAGGCGACGAUCAGUAGCUGGUCUGAGAGGACGAACAGCCACACUGGGACUGAGACACGGCCCAGACUCCUACGGGAGGCAGCAGUGGGGAAUUUUGGACAAUGGGGGCAACCCUGAUCCAGCAAUGCCGCGUGUGUGAAGAAGGCCUUCGGGUUGUAAAGCCCUUUUGUCAGGGAAGAAAUCCUCGGCGCUAAUACCCCCGCGGGAUGACGGUACCUGCAGAAUAAGCACCGGCUAACUACGUG